CCCUUUUCUGACUUUUUACCGUGUCCUUGUGUUAUUAUUGUUGUCUCUGCGAAGACUAAAUAGUAUCAGAACCCAGGAAACUCUCUUGCUUUCUAAUUCAUUGAGGUUUGUCUUUGCCCUAGCUCUUUUUGGUGAUGUCUUAGUGUAUUCUUGUGCUGCUGGCUUCCCCUCAUUAUGUUUCUCAGUCAGCAUGCUUCACAAUGGAUCCAGAAACCUUCUCAAGCCAAGCCUACUCAGUUCUUCUCACGGAAAGCACACAUACUCAUCUGCCCAGACUCCAGCCCAGUGUGCAGAGGAAAGGAUCAGGCAGCCUGAUUUUCUGCUGCUUAUUUGGACCUGUGGAUGCUUUUCUGAGGGAAGCUAAGAAACAAUCUUCAAAUUACUGUCAAAAAUCCAGAACCCAGACCAAAGGAUUCUGUGCCAGGUCCAACCACAUGGGAAAAGAAGAAGGAAAGGACAUCAAAAGCAGCUGUACUUCAUUCUCUUUUCAAGAAUAACAAGACACCAGUUCAGAUUCUUCUUCCCUGAACUUCUGAUAAAGCAGCACAGUAUACAUGUAGGGAGGAGACUGUUGUGAAGAGGAUGGUUACAGUUCCCCAGUUUUCAGGACAGAUUUCCUGCUCCCUGAACCUUGGUAAAAAUAAGGCUGAUGAAGGUGAAACAUGCAGUUUAUCUUAACAGAAUCAAAAUGAUCAAUAGAAGUAAUGUCAUAAUAAUGACAGCAAUAAGCAAGAAAAACACAGCUUAAAAACCCCUCCCAUGUUACUACAGAAGAGUGAAACCAAGUCUUCUAUGAAAUUUGAUGUGUGUAGGAUUUAAAACAUUUAAACUCAUGUAUUUGAGGUGCUCAGCUAAAUAGUUAGCUUCACUACUUAAACAAAAAAAAAAAUCAGAAUUUUUUCUUACUAUUAUAUUGAUGUACUAUUGCAAUUUAGAUUACCUAAAUUAUUCAGAAAAAAAUAAUAAAUGUGGCAUAUCAGAAACA
rnacentral:lncRNA from 1 species